rnacentral:misc_RNA from 1 species
ACAUGGAUAUAUCUGAUCGGAACAAUGAGAAUGUAGUCUUGCCGUCUGAGGAAGGAGAGGGAAGUAAUGGAAAUGUGGUGUUUUCAAGAGAAGCUCCACUUGUACAUAAGGACUUCAGAUCAUCUGCCGUUGCAGGAGGUUGCAGUUGUGGAGUUAAUAAGAUUAAAUCAGGGAUAGCUAACUCUGACUCGGAACUCGGAAAAAGUGAGGAAUCAGGUCUUGAAAAGAAGCUUAGUAGACAAGAUAGGAUUGAGUUGGGGCGCUUGUUCCAGGGUGCUGUGAGUGACCAUGAUUGGGAGUUGGCAGAGAGUUUGAUCCUACUGGCUGAUCCCCAAACACUGAAUGAUGCUUUAUGCAUUGGUUUGGAUUCAAUCUGGUUCUUGAGUAAUCAAGAUGAGUUGUACGGGAUAACAGGUUUGAUUAAGAAGAUCAUCGCUAAUGGUGCAUUCGACUUCACUCGGGCUGCCCUAAGGACUUCAUUUCUUGCUUCUUGUGUUUCUGCUUGCCAGAGUCGAACAAUGGGCCUUGCAGAUACUGUCACUGUUAUGGCACGAAGGUUGCAUGAACGACUACGAGAAUGCAGUGGAGAUGAAGUCUUGAAGGCUGAAGCUGGUGCUAAGGUUCAGAAAUUCACUGAAUGGGCUCUUAAAUGUAUAGGUUUCCAUUCCCGCUGCCAAGGAAAGAGAGAUACGGUUGGGAAGAACUCUGCUGUUGAAAUACAAUUGCAGUUAUCAGCUUUCAAAACUUUCCUGGAUCUUGCUGGGAAUCACCUUACUGGGAAGGACUUUACAGAAGCAUUUGAUGCAGCUUGCUUUCCGCUUACACUAUUCCCUAGUUCAUUUGAUACUUGCUGGGCAUCAGGAAUUUCAGCUACUGCAAUCCAAGGAUUGCUCGGCAUGUUGGUGGAUGGGGGUGCAGACAAUGUCAAUCAGUGCUUUCUUGAAGCUUCACGUUUUGGGAGCACAGAGCUG